UACGGGGGGAGCAAGCGUUGUUCGGAUUUACUGGGCGUAAAGGGCGCGUAGGCGGUCAGCACAAGUCAGUUGUGAAAUCUCCGGGCUUAACUCGGAAAGGUCAACUGAUACUGUGCGACUAGAGUGCAGAAGGGGCAACUGGAAUUCUCGGUGUAGCGGUGAAAUGCGUAGAGAUUUGGAGGAACACCAGUGGCGAAGGCGACUUUCUGGUCUGUAACUGACACUGAGGCGCGAAAGCGUGGGGAGCAAACAGG
rnacentral:rRNA from 1 species